AGAGACAGCAGCCGCCGCGGUAAUACGUAGGUGGCAAGCGUUGUCCGGAAUUAUUGGGCGUAAAGGGCUCGCAGGCGGUUUCUUAAGUCUGAUGUGAAAGCCCCCGGCUCAACCGGGGAGGGUCAUUGGAAACUGGGAAACUUGAGUGCAGAAGAGGAGAGUGGAAUUCCACGUGUAGCGGUGAAAUGCGUAGAGAUGUGGAGGAACACCAGAGGCGAAGGCGACUCUCUGGUCUGUAACUGACGCUGAGGAGCGAAAGCGUGGGGAGCGAACAGGAUUAGAUACCCCCGUAGUCCCUGUCUCUUAUAC
rnacentral:rRNA from 1 species